UAUGCUGACUGUUUAAUAGAAGCAAGGAGCAGGUGCUCUCACCUUCCCGAGUGUUCGCUCUUGAAGUUGUCACCUCCCCCAACUCCUUAUUCAUUUUUCCUAGAAAAAAAUCCAAGAAGGAUAGAAAAGUUGUCAGAUCACUGAGGAAGGAAAGUCUGCUCUGGGGAAGAAAACAAGAAGGAAAAAAAUUAUAGUGGAGACUAUACUCACCACCCAAACCCUAGUCAUUUUUAGCUGCCAUUCAGUCUCCAGUUGCCACAGGUGAUAGGGCUGGGAUGACCUUCUUAGCCAGCCUCGUGUGAUGGAACGGUGAGCCUGCUGAGGCUCAAUUCCAUCCCAGGGGCCUCCCUGCCUUCUAAGCAGCUCCAGUGUGCAUGUGUUGUUGCCAAAAGAUGGCUGGCCUCCACCUUGCCCUGAAGAGUCAAGUCGGCUUUCUAAUGGUCUGGACAAGCCCCCUCCUGCUCCUCACCAUCCACAAAGUCUUGGGAAUCAAGGUGUCUCCUUCCAUGUUCUACAACAUUCCAUGGCUAUUCUUUCUAUAUUCCAGCUUUGGGAAAUUCAUCAUUAAGUUAUUGUUCAGCUUUUUUCUCCCCUGCCCUUUAGGACUGACCAAUUCAAGUUCCUAUGAGUCCACAUAAGCCGCAUUUUCUAGCCUCAAGUUCUUCAUGUCUCUUUUUCACCAUGCGGCCUGGAAAAGACCCAGUUGGGCUUGAUCAGAUUGGAAUUAAGUCAGGGACAGCACAUGGCUCCUGAGCCCAGGGCAGCUCUGCACUCCUGAAAUUUCAAACCUUUGCUGAAAGUUUAAUAAUUUCUUUUUAAAAAAUGUUGUUCUUC
rnacentral:lncRNA from 1 species